rnacentral:rRNA from 1 species
AUUGAACGCUGGCGGCAGGCCUAACACAUGCAAGUCGAGCGGAUGAAGGGAGCUUGCUCCUGGAUUCAGCGGCGGACGGGUGAGUAAUGCCUAGGAAUCUGCCUGGUAGUGGGGGAUAACGUCCGGAAACGGGCGCUAAUACCGCAUACGUCCUGCGGGCGAAAGUGGGGGAGCUUCGGACCUCACGCUAUCAGAUGAGCCUAGGUCGGAUUAGCUAGUUGGUGGGGUAAAGGCCUACCAAGGCGACGAUCCGUAACUGGUCUGAGAGGAUGAUCAGUCACACUGGAACUGAGACACGGUCCAGACUCCUACGGGAGGCAGCAGUGGGGAAUAGUGGAAGAUGGGCGAAAGCCUGAUCCAGCCGUGCCGCGUGUGUGAAGAAGGUCUUCGGAUUGUAAAGCACUUUAAGUUGGGAGGAAGGGCAGUAAGUUAAUACCUUGCUGUUUUGACGUUACCAACAGAAUAAGCACCGGCUAACUUCGUG